AACGCACAUUGCGCCCGCUAGUAUUCUGGCGGGCAUGCCUGUUCGAGCGUCAUUUCAACCCUCAAACCCCCGGGUUUGGUGUUGGAGAUCGGCAUGAGUCCUUCGGGGCGACGCCGUCUCCCAAAUAUAGUGGCGGUCUCGCUGUAGCUUCCUAUGCGUAGUAGCACACCUCGCACUGGAAAACAGCGUGGCCACGCCGUUAAACCCCCCACUUUCUGAGUUUGACCUCGAAUCAGGUAGGAUUACCCGCUGAACUUAA
rnacentral:misc_RNA from 1 species